rnacentral:rRNA from 1 species
UGGGGAAUUUUGGACAAUGGGCGAAAGCCUGAUCCAGCAAUGCCGCGUGCAGGAUGAAGGCCCUCGGGUUGUAAACUGCUUUUGUACGGAACGAAAAGCCUGGGGCUAAUAUCCCCGGGUCAUGACGGUACCGUAAGAAUAAGCUCCGGCUAACUACGUGCCAGCAGCCGCGGUAAUACGUAGGGUGCAAGCGUUAAUCGGAAUUACUGGGCGUAAAGCGUGCGCAGGCGGUUUUGUAAGACAGUGGUGAAAUCCCCGGGCUCAACCUGGGAACUGCCAUUGUGACUGCAAGGCUAGAGUGCGGCAGAGGGGGAUGGAAUUCCGCGUGUAGCAGUGAAAUGCGUAGAUAUGCGGAGGAACACCGAUGGCGAAGGCAAUCCCCUGGGCCUGCACUGACGCUCAUGCACGAAAGCGUGGGGAGCAAACAGG